UGGGCGGCAAAAACGUACCAAAGGCUCUCUCUCAUCACCUCCGAUUGCAGAAAUCACAGAAGUCGUUCUUCAAGUUCCAUGUGAUCAGCUCUCUCAAGAACUCUCCUGAUGAGAUUGUGAGGAAUGAAUGAACGGAAGAAGAAGAAGAAGAUGAAGUGCCGGGCUUACCUUGUUGCUGACAGAAUGUGCAGCAUGCAGCCCAACCGGCUUGGAACAGGAAGGUUUCUCGACCGACAAGUACUUAAGAAUGCAUGACUUGAAGGUGCUCAAAACAGAGAGGAUGUCAAAACCCACAGUGGAAAAAUGGUCUGAAACAUCUUAUGGAGUUGUAAUAUUACAGGAUCAUAGACAAGUGUACCAUUGGAUCGGAUCCUUGUGGGCUCCAAUCAGAGAUUUUCUCCAUGUAACCAAGGUAAGUUACAAAUGACUUUUCACCUAUUUUCCCAUACCCCUUCUGAUUAAUAAUGCUAUUAUUUGUCAACAUGAAUAUAUUCACUGAUUUGCAUUAAAAAGUAAACAAAGAAAUUGAAAAACCGUAAGGUUUUUUUUAGGUUGCAUGGCAAAUUAAAGGAAAGAGAAAUGAAAAUUUCAAACCUAAACGGAAAUUUUUUUUUAUAAUUAUUACUCCACAUGUUUAUGUUCAUUUCCUCCAAAUAAUGAAUAGGAGUCUAGCCUUAAUUCAUUUAACCAGGAUCACAGUUUGUUAAAACUUGUUUUUUUAACUGUUGUUUUUCAAAUUGAUCCCAAUUAAAAUUUGGGAUCGAUCUCAAUCAAUACAGAUCCAGUUCGGGUGAUUUUUCUGAUCCCAAUCUGAUUUUUUACUCAUCAAUUGCUAAACAAAAGGAAUUGUUUAUGAUAGACAGUAUUAUAUAUUACAUUUCCAUCUUAAUAAAAAGGAAAAAUGAACAAGCUUAUAUUACAGCAUAGUCAACAACAAUGUACUAAAUAAUAUCCAGAUUCAUAAUAUAUUGAAUUGUUCAUACAACUUGUAAGAUGGAACAAAUGGUCUGUACCACUGUCAAGAUGAUGAGGAAGACUGCAGCAAGUAAUGAAAUUAAUGCCCAUGGAUUUUUGAAAUAAGUCUGCUUUAAAAGUGCCUUCCAUCUGUUCCAUGUUUUAUUUUGAUACUUCUCCACAUCCUCAAUAACACCAGAGAAACAAGGAUCAUUAAUCUUAGCAUGUUUAACAAUGUUGUUAAAUAAGGUCACCACUUCUUCUGGGUUCCCAAGGUGGUUCUCAAUAAUUCCUUUCUUUACUAGCAACUCUGCAUCACUUUGAGUAUCAAUGAGGCCAUCCAUGAAAGCUAGGUAGGCUGUGAAAUAAUCACUAAUGUCUUCUUGACCUUGGUCAAAGGCAAUGGGAUUUCUAAGAGUGUAUUGUCAAGUCAGAAAUUGCAAUGGGUGGGAUUGUUAAUACUCCAUUAUUGAAGGUUAUGUCAAGUAAAGAUGUCUUUGAAGAGUCCGACGGUGAAGACCCCCUUAGGUACUUGAUGCCGGCUCUCCUCAGCUCCGAGGCACAACUUGUAUGCGCCCAUCCCUUUGUACCAGAUUUCUUCUUCCUCGUAUAUGAAUUGAGGACAAUUUGUAAAAGAUCAAGAAAAUGCUUUGCUUCUCCCUCUAGCAAUGGUAUUGAUUUUAGUUCUUCAGGUGAUGAUGCGCCAUGGAGUCUUUUUCCAAACCACAUUAAGAGGUUACCAUAGAUGUCAUGACUGAAGGUGUUCAAAUAGGGUAGGCCAUAUAAAUUCUGACUCUGAUUGAAGGUGGUUGGGGUUUUGGAGUUUACAAGUUAGGCCAUAUAAACGCUCAAGAACAAAGAAAGGAAGCUGAUUUUCAAGAUUAAUAAGGUCAGGGAGAAGUUACCAAAACCAUGAACGAUUCGAAACUAAGUCAUCCUUCUCUUUUGUUUUAAUGAUCUUGAAGAUUUCAAGUAUGAAGCAACCAUCAAUCACAAUCAUCUUGACAAACUCAUCUUUUUGGAAACCCUUUCCCGUGGUUUCUGAAUAACACCUUCGAGCUUUUUCUCCCAACUCACUCAGCUUCAACACAAGCAUCCAAGGUUUUCUCUUUGUGUCAAACCAGAAAAUGAUUUAAAUAGAGCAACUUAUGUGCUUGCAUGGGUUGUAAGUGUUCCUCGUUAGAGUGCUAAAGGCCAAUUGAGACUGAUUGAGGUGUGUAGGCUUCUGGCUUUAGCUUUCGAAGACGUUUGUGCACUCAGAAUAUACUAUAUUUGGAUUGUAAGGAAUGAUUGACCUCUCCUCGUUCUUUCUCGAUGGAGUUUACUAAUUCUUUAUUUCAUCGUUGUUCAAUUGGCAAUCAUCAUCGCAUCCUCUUUUUUUAGUAGAAUUGCUUGAAGAACUAGCAAAAUAGAGUACCAUUGUCUGAAGCUCCCUAGCUACUGUUCUUUCCAACUGGUAGAGGAUAUCACGAGCAGUAUUGGUAGUCCAAAGUCUUGUGAAAACUAGAAGUUUACAAUUGUAUAGCUCAGUAUGGUUUCAUAACUAGAUGAGAAAAGUUGAAGGGAAAAAAAAAAGUGAAACAAGAACAAUAUUGGGAAAAGAAAGCUACCCAAUUGUGCAUGCCGUCUAUGCCUAGAAACUAGAAAUCAUGAAAAUAUGCCCUUGCCCCUCUAAUUGGAUACUUAAAUACACAUUCUCAUUGGCCAAGGCACUAUACAGUGAUCAAGUGACCAAGUAGUUUUCUUUCUCCCUAACAAUAUAUAGCAAAAAUUCUUACAAAAAUAGCAAUAAACUCCUUAGCAUUUUUUUUUUCAUAUACAAAACUCUUUAGCCAAGUUAUGGAGCAAAAACCCAACAAGUGAUUUUAUUUGGUACAAAGGAAACUAGUAAGCCAGCUAAGCCAAGGAUUCAACUCAUCACCCAGAGAGAGAGAAACUUUCUUCCCCAACCCCACUUCCCAGCCCCACACCCAAUAAAUAAAUAAAUUGUACCCUUGAGAUAAGAUAUAUUAGACAUAAUUGUACAUCUACCGACAAUUGUCAUAUAAUUCAGCUCUCAAAAGAGUGGAAAAAUAAAUAAAUAAAAACUAAGGCAAAGCUGAGCAAUCAUGCACCACCAUAUAUAGUAUAAUUUUUAGAUCAAACACAAGCAUUACCAUUUAUGUUCUACACAAGAAGAGGGAAGAGGAAGAGGAAGAGGAAGACGAUGAGGUGCACAUACACACAUAGGCUUGCCUUGUUAGCUGUUGGUGACAUAAGAAUGAAGUUGCUCAAAAUGGAGAGGUAUUUAGUCUCUUAAUCUUCUCAAUUGAUUGUGUUUAGGCUUUACUUUAACCCAAUAUAUAGAAUGUAGAAUGACUAUUCUAGCUUCUCCAUUCUCAAAUCUCAAUGAGAAGAUUUGCUUUAUACUCACUGCAGAAUUUUUACCUUUCCUUUUUCUUUCAAUUUCAAUUUUCCAGUAAAAAAAUGAAACUUUCAUCAACUCCUAAUCAAAUAGCUCCCUUUGGAAUUUAAGGAUCAAAGGCAAUCUCUAUUUCCUUUACUUGCUACAACCAUAUUAUAAAGUAGGUGCACUGUAAAAUAGAUUACAAAUGAAUUGUGUAACCAUUGCAGUAGGUGAAUAGCUAGGUGAUAUUCAGAUAGACCCUUUAAAGAAAGAAAGGAAAAAGAAAAAGGUGUAUCUUUUUGUAACCAUGAAUGUUGCAAACAUAAUUUAUAACCAUACACUUUUUAUCCUA